GUAACCCUAACACACACACACACACACACACACACACACACACACACACACACACACACACACACACACACACACACACACACACACACACCAAAGAAGAAGAACAAUCCUGCUCUGUGUGCCCACUGCAGGGAGUCUUAAAGCUACAAUCUGUAGGAUUCAGGCCCAUUUAUGAGCAUUAAUAGAGCCUUCAUUAGUGCAACAACCAAUCAACAGGUUUUCAUGAGUUUAGAACUGAGACUUCAUAUCCAUUUGGGAGCACGACCCCUCAGGGACGCCACCAUGUGGAUACAGUAGGCCAAAAGGGACAUAUUUACUCCACCUUUCGUAUUUUGCACUGAGACCAGAGCACCUAAGAAAAAAGAGGAGGCCUGAGUGGCUGCUCCUCCAAACGCCGUCUCCUGGUUACUUGUGCAAAAAAAAAACAUUUAAAAUCUCUGAUUUCUCUUUAGUGGAGGAUCACAUGUUACUUAUCAGAAGAGUGGGCCUGGCAACAUGAAUCCUCCUGAUGAAAGAAGUGAAAAUGUGACAGAUGACAAUAUAAAGCAAUCUGCAACUUCACCACUAGACGUCACUAAACCCUACACAAGAGUUGGAAUUCUAAAACCGCACCAGAUCAUUCAUGUGUUGGAGAUAAAUCACAUCUUUGUUUGGAGGAAAAUCCUAAGAGCUGAAGUCGGGAUGGUGACGAGGAGAAAAGAUAAAAGACGGCCGACAAAAUAGAUCAAAUAAGUCAAGACUAAAUGUACAGAAAGAAGAAA